rnacentral:rRNA from 1 species
AUUGAACGCUGGCGGCAGGCCUAACACAUGCAAGUCGAGCGAGCGGCGGACGGGUGAGUAAUGUAUGGGGACUGCCCGAUAGAGGGGGAUAACUACUGGAAACGGUGGCUAAUACCGCAUACUAUCGGAUAACCCAUAUGGGAUUAGCUAUUAGGUGGGGUAAAGGCUCACCUAGGCUACGAUCUCUAGCUGGUCUGAGAGGAUGAGCAGCCACAUUGGGACUGAGACACGGCCAAGAUGCCUACGGAGCCAGCAGUGGGGAAUAUUGCACAAUGGGCGCAAGCCUGAUGCAGCAAGGCCGCGUGUAGUAAGAAGGCCUUAGGGUUGUAAAGUACUUUCAGCGGGGAGGCGUUACCCACAGAAGAAGCACCGGCUAACUACGUGCCAGCAGCCGCGGUAAUUC